AGUAGCGUGGCCGAGCGGCCUUAGGUGCUGGAUUUAGGAUCCAGUCCCUUCGGGGACGUGGCUUCGAAUCCCACCGCUAUCA
rnacentral:tRNA from 1 species